rnacentral:rRNA from 1 species
UACCGCAUACGUCCUACGGGAGAAAGCAGGGGACCUUCGGGCCUUGCGCUAUCAGAUGAGCCUAGGUCGGAUUAGCUGGUUGGUGAGGUAAUGGCUCACCAAGGCGACGAUCCGUAACUGGUCUGAGAGGAGUGAUCAGUCACACUGGGAAUGAGACACGGUCCACCCUCCUACGGGAGGCAGCAGUGGGGAAUAUUGGACAAUGGGCGAAAGCCGAUCCAAAAGAGGCCCCGUGUGUGAAGAAGGUCUUCGGAU